AUUGAACGCUGGCGGCAUGCUUUACACAUGCAAGUCGAACGGUAACAGGCCGCAAGGUGCUGACGAGUGGCGAACGGGUGAGUAAUGCAUCGGAACGUGCCCAGUCGUGGGGGAUAACGCAGCGAAAGCUGCGCUAAUACCGCAUACGAUCUAUGGAUGAAAGCGGGGGACCGUAAGGCCUUGCGCGAUUGGAGCGGCCGAUGUCAGGUUAGGUAGUUGGUGGGGUAAAGGCUCACCAAGCCAACGAUCUGUAGCUGGUCGGAGAGGACGACCAGCCACACUGGUAAUGAGACACGGCUGAGAGUCCUACGGGGGGCAGCAGUGGGGAAUUUUGAACAAUGGGCGCAAGCCUGAUCCAGCAAUGACGCGUGCAGGAAGAAGGCCGUCGGGUUGUAAACUGCUGUUGUACGGAACGAAACGGUCCGGGUUAAUACCCUGGGCUAAUGACGGUACCGUAAGAAUAAGCACCGGCUAACUACGUGCCAGCCGCCGCCGUAAGAC
rnacentral:rRNA from 1 species